rnacentral:rRNA from 1 species
UCUGACACAGGUGCUGCAUGGCUGUCGUCAGCUCGUGUCGUGAGAUGUUGGGUUAAGUCCCGUUAACGAGCGCAACCCUUGUCCUUAGUUACCAGCACGUUAUGGUGGGCACUCUAAGGAGACUGCCGGUGACAACCGGAGGAAGGUGGGGAGUGACGUCAAGUCAUCAUGGCCCUUACGGCCUGGGCUACACACGUGCUACAAUGGUCGGUACAAAGGGUUGCCAAGCCGCGAGGUGGAGCUAAUCCCAUAAAACCGAUCGUAGUCCGGAUCGCAGUCUGCAACUCGACUGCGUGAAGUCGGAAUCGCUAGUAAUCGUGAAUCAGAAUGUCACGGUGAAUACGUUCCCGGGCCUU